AUGAAUCGCCUGCUCCGCCGCUCCCGCUCCGCUGACCUCGACGCGGCGGCCAACCUCCCUCCUUUAGUUCCUCUUGCUGCCGUCCCACCCGCCCAUGCAGCUCCCGGCGCGGGCCUCCAUCCUAGGGCUCCGGCGCCCGCCCCGGUGCGCCUCGGCAAUGUCGCACCCGCCGCGCCUGCGGCCGUUCGGGCGGCCCCUCCUGCGGCUCCCCUUCACCACGGCGUCGGCCGUGAGCUCAUCCCCUGCCUCGACAACACGGGCGCGUCGAGCUCCUCCAACCCCGCCCCCUGGGACAACUACGCCGCCCUCCAUGCUGCCCUCAACAACAUCGCGCACCAGCAGCAGCACGGCUCCGGCGAGUGGUUCCUCGACACUGGAGCAACUUCCCACGUCACCGGUGAGACGGGACCUCAAAACCCGGCGCAUCCUAAUGACGUCCAGUAG
rnacentral:rRNA from 1 species